UGCCUGUACCAUAACCGACACAGGUGGGUAGGUAGAGUAUACUAAGGGGCGCGAGAUAACUCUCUCUAAGGAACUCGGCAAAAUGACUCCGUAACUUCGGGAGAAGGAGUGCCUUAUUUAUAAGGUUGCAAUAACAAGAUCCAAGCAACUGUUUAUCAAAAACACAGGUCUCCGCUAAGUCGUAAGACGAUGUAUGGGGGCUGACGCCUGCCCAGUGCCAGAAGGUUAAAGAAGUUGGUUAGUGUAUGCGAAGCUGAUGACUGAAGCCCUGGUGAACGGCGGCCGUAACAAUAACGGUCCUAAGGUAGCGAAAUUCCUUGUCGGGUAAGUUCCGACCCGCACGAAAGGCGUAAUGAUUUGGAUACUGUCUCGGAGAGAGGCUCGGUGAAAUAGACUUGUCUGUGAAGAUGCGGACUACCUGCACCAGGACAGAAAGACCCUAUGAAGCUUUACUGUAACUUGAAAUUGGAAUUGGACUUUGCUUGCGCAGUAUAGGUGGGAAGCGUUGAAGAUAUUCUUGCGGGAGUAUUGGAGCUAUCAGUGAGAUACCACUCUUGUAAUGUUAGAUUUCUAACUUUGAACCAUAAUCUGGUCAAAGAACAGUUUCAGGUGGGCAGUUUGACUGGGGCGGUCGCCUCCCAAAUGGUAACGGAGGCGUACAAAGGUUUCCUCUGAACGGAUAGAAAUCGUAUCUAGAGUGUAAAGGCAUAAGGAAGCUUGACUGUGAGACCUACAAGUCGAGCAGGGACGAAAGUCGGUCUUAGUGAUCUGACGGUACUGAGUGGAAAGGCCGUCACUCAACGGAUAAAAGUUACUCUAGGAUAACAGGCUGAUCUCCCCCAAGAGUUCACAUCGACGGGGAGGUUUGGCACCUCGAUGUCGGCUCAUCGCAUCCUGGGGCGGUAGUACGUCCCAAGGGUUGGGCUGUUCGCCCAUGAAAGCGGUACGCGAGCUGGGUUCAGAACGUCGUGAGACAGUUCGGUCCAUAUCCGGUGUAGGCGUUAGAGUAUUGAGAGGAGCCUUCUCUAGUACGAGAGGACCGAGAAGGACACACCGCUGGUGUACCAGUUAUCGUGCCAACGGUAAACGCUGGGUAGCUAUGUGUGGAGUGGAUAACCGCUGAAAGCAUCUAAGUGGGAAGCCCACCUCAAGAUGAGUAUUCUCAUCACUAUAAGUGAGUAAGGUCACGGUAAGACUAACCGUUUGAUAGGCAUUAAGUGUAAAUGUAGUAAUGCAUGUGCUGAGAUGUCCUAACAGACCGAGGAC
rnacentral:rRNA from 1 species